UACGUAGGGUGCAAGCGUUAAUCGGAAUUACUGGGCGUAAAGCGUGCGCAGGCGGUGAUGUAAGACAGAUGUGAAAUCCCCGGGCUCAACCUGGGAACUGCAUUUGUGACUGCAUCGCUGGAGUGCGGCAGAGGGGGAUGGAAUUCCGCGUGUAGCAGUGAAAUGCGUAGAUAUGCGGAGGACCACCGAUGGCGAAGGCAAUCCCCUGGGCCUGCACUGACGCUCAUGCACGAAAGCGUGGGGAGCAAACAGG
rnacentral:rRNA from 1 species